AGAGUUUGAUCAUGGCUCAGAGCGAACGCUGGCGGCAGGCCUAACACAUGCAAGUCGAACGGAUCCUUCGGGAUUAGUGGCGGACGGGUGAGUAACACGUGGGAACGUGCCUUUUGGUUCGGAACAACUCAGGGAAACUUGAGCUAAUACCGAAUGUGCCCUUCGGGGGAAAGAUUUAUCGCCAUUAGAGCGGCCCGCGUCUGAUUAGCUUGUUGGUGAGGUUAAAAGGGCUCACCAAGGCUACGAUCAGUAGCUGGUCUGAGAGGAUGAUCAGCCACAUUGGGACUGAGACACGGCCCAAACUCCUACGGGAGGCAGCAGUGGGGAAUCUUGCGCAAUGGGCGAAAGCCUGACGCAGCCAUGCCGCGUGAAUGAUGAAGGUCUUAGGAUUGUAAAAUUCUUUCACCGGGGACGAUAAUGACGGUACCCGGAGAAGAAGCCCCGGCUAACUUCGUG
rnacentral:rRNA from 1 species